rnacentral:rRNA from 1 species
UGCGCAGGCGGUGAUGUAAGACAGUUGUGAAAUCCCCGGGCUCAACCUGGGAACUGCAUCUGUGACUGCAUCGCUGGAGUGCGGCAGAGGGGGAUGGAAUUCCGCGUGUAGCAGUGAAAUGCGUAGAUAUGCGGAGGAACACCGAUGGCGAAGGCAAUCCCCUGGGCCUGCACUGACGCUCAUGCACGAAAGCGUGGGGAGCAAACA